UACAGAGGUGGCAAGCGUUGUUCGGAAUUACUGGGCGUAAAGGGCGCGUAGGCGGCCUUCUAAGUCAGACGUGAAAUCCCCCGGCUUAACCUGGGAACUGCGUCUGAUACUGGGAGGCUUGAGUAUGGGAGAGGGAUGUAGAAUUCCAGGUGUAGCGGUGAAAUGCGUAGAUAUCUGGAGGAAUACCGGCGGCGAAGGCGGCAUCCUGGACCAUAACUGACGCUGAGGCGCGAAAGCUAGGGGAGCAAACGGG
rnacentral:rRNA from 1 species